rnacentral:rRNA from 1 species
UACGUAGGGUGCGAGCGUUGUCCGGAAUUAUUGGGCGUAAAGAGCUCGUAGGCGGUGUGUCGCGUCGGCCGUGAAAACCUGGGGCUCAACUCUGGGCGUGCGGUCGAUACGGGCAUCACUUGAGUUCGGCAGGGGAGACUGGAAUUCCUGGUGUAGCGGUGAAAUGCGCAGAUAUCAGGAGGAACACCGGUGGCGAAGGCGGGUCUCUGGGCCACUACUGACGCUGAGAAGCGAAAGCAUGGGGAGCAAACAGG